rnacentral:rRNA from 1 species
CCUACGGGCGGCAGCAGUCGAGAAUCAUUCACAAUGGGGGAAACCCUGAUGGUGCGACGCCGCGUGGGGGAAUGAAGGUCUUCGGAUUGUAAACCCCUGUCAUGUGGGAGCAAAUUAAAAAGAUAGUACCACAAGAGGAAGAGACGGCUAACUCUGUGCCAGCAGCCGCGGUAAUACAGAGGUCUCAAGCGUUGUUCGGAAUUACUGGGCGUAAGGCGUGCGUAGGCUGUUUCGUAAGUCGUGUGUGAAAGGCGCGGGCUCAACCCGCGGACGGCACAUGAUACUGCGAGACUAGAGUAAUGGAGGGGGAACCGGAAUUCUCGGUGUAGCAGUGAAAUGCGUAGAUAUCGAGAGGAACACUCGUGGCGAAGGCGGGUUCCUGGACAUUAACUGACGCUGAGGCACGAAGGCCAGGGGAGCGAAAGGGAUUAGAUACCCUAGUAGUC